CUGAAAGCCGGAAAGUGAUGGUGGUGUACAAACCAGAAGACGUCACUUUGCAGCCCGGAAUCUCGGUUUCUGCGAGAUCAGAACUGUAAGAUGGUGUACUCACGGUUUCCUGAAGACAGCUUUUUAGCCUUUCUCAGACAUUCCUCUGCAACCCUCUGCAAUCUUUGGAAACAUGGAGGGGGGACGGACAUGUCAAAUAAGUAGAGAACUCUCUACUGUAUCCCAGGACUCCGUGGAAGCCAGAUUGAGGUACAGCUGCCUUCUUCUCCAUCUGCUAAAUAAGGAAACCAGGAAAAUUAGUCCAUCUGCAUCCAGUGGCGGCUCGUCCAUAGGGGCAAGUUUUGCAGUGCCCCACCAUCUACACCAGCCGUUCAACAUAUAUUAAUCUUCAUAAAGUCCUUAAUCAGUCUACUCUAGGUUUUAUAUUUCAUUGCAAAACUAAUGAUCUCUUCUGAUUGACCAGUGGUUGCUAUUGGAGAGAUACCAGCCAAAGUUCCAUUGAUUUGCUCCCCUUCUAGAUGUUACACAAUUGCAGGGCAGCAUGCUCACUGCCCCAUUUAGUGCCAUAGAAUUGUUUUUUUAUGCCAAAAUAAUCGUAUCA